rnacentral:rRNA from 1 species
GAUGAACGCUGGCGGCGUGCCUAAUACAUGCAAGUCGAGCGAACAGACGAGGAGCUUGCUCCUCUGACGUUAGCGGCGGACGGGUGAGUAACACGUGGAUAACCUACUUAUAAGACUGGGAUAACUUCGGGAAACCGGAGCUAAUACCGGAUAAUAUAUUGAACCGCAUGGUUCAAUAGUGAAAGACGGUUUUGCUGUCACUUAUAGAUGGAUCCGCGCCGCAUUAGCUAGUUGGUAAGGUAACGGCUUACCAAGGCGACGAUGCGUAGCCGACCUGAGAGGGUGAUCGGCCACACUGGAACUGAGACACGGUCCAGACUCCUACGGGAGGCAGCAGUAGGGAAUCUUCCGCAAUAGGCGAAAGCCUGACGGAGCAACGCCGCGUGAGUGAUGAAGGUCUUCGGAUCGUAAAACUCUGUUAUUAGGGAAGAACAAAUGUGUAAGUAGCUAUGCACGUCUUGACGGUACCUAAUCAGAAAGCCACGGCUAACUACGUG